CGCGGCCUAUCAGCUUGUUGGUGGGGUAAUGGCCUACCAAGGCGGCGACGGGUAGCCGGCCUGAGAGGGUGUACGGCCACAUUGGGACUGAGAUACGGCCCAGACUCCUACGGGAGGCAGCAGUGGGGAAUAUUGCACAAUGGGCGCAAGCCUGAUGCAGCGACGCCGCGUGGGGGAUGAAGGCCUUCGGGUUGUAAACUCCUUUCGCUAGGGACGAAGCUUUGUUGUGACGGUACCUAGAUAAGAAGCACCGGCUAACUACGUGCCAGCAGCCGCGGUAAUACGUAGGGUGCGAGCGUUGUCCGGAAUUACUGGGUGUAAAGGGCUCGUAGGUGGUUUGUCGCGUCGUCUGUGAAAUUCUGGGGCUUAACUCCGGGCGUGCAGGCGAUACGGGCAUAACUUGAGUGCUGUAGGGGUAACUGGAAUUCCUGGUGUAGCGGUGAAAUGCGCAGAUAUCAGGAGGAACACCGAUGGCGAAGGCAGGUUACUGGGCAGUUACUGACGCUGAGGAGCGAAAGCAUGGGUAGCGAACAGGAUUAGAUACCCUGGUAGUCCAUGCCGUAAACGGUGGGCGCUAGGUGUGAGGGUCUUUCUACGACUUUCGUGCCGUAGCUAACGCAUUAAGCGCCCCGCCUGGGGAGUACGG
rnacentral:rRNA from 1 species